rnacentral:rRNA from 1 species
GACGAACGCUGGCGGCGUGCUUAACACAUGCAAGUCGAGCGGUAAGGCCCUUUCGGGGGUACACGAGCGGCGAACGGGUGAGUAACACGUGGGUGACCUGCCUUUAGCUCUGGGAUAAGCCUGGGAAACUGGGUCUAAUACCGGAUACGACUCCGCGGUGCAUGCUGUGGGGUGGAAAGCCUUGUGCGGCUGGAGAUGGGCCCGCGGCCUAUCAGCUUGUUGGUGGGGUGAUGGCCUACCAAGGCGACGACGGGUAGCCGGCCUGAGAGGGCGGACGGCCACACUGGAACUGAGACACGGUCCAGACUCCUACGGGAGGCAGCAGUGGGAAUUUUCGCAAUGGGGGCAACCCUGACGAAGCAACGCCGCGU